rnacentral:rRNA from 1 species
AGCAGCCGCGGUAAUUCCAGCUCCAAUAGCGUAUAUUAAAGUUGUUGCAGUUAAAAAGCUCGUAGUUGAAUUUCGGGAUUUAUCCGUCGGUCGGGCUUUUGGGUCUGUACUGGCGUGAUGGAUUCCUACCUUCUGAAUAACCGGCAUGUCAUUAAUUUGGUGCGCCGGGGAAGCAGGACUGUUACCUUGAAAAAAUUAGAGUGCUUAAAGCAGGCUUAUGCCUGAAUACAUUAGCAUGGAAUAAUGAAAUAGGACGGCAUGGUUCUAUUUUGUGGUUUCUAGGAUCACCGUAAUGAUUAAUAGGGAUAGUUGGGGCAUUAGCAUUCAAUUGUCAGAGGUGAAAUUCUUGGAUUUAUUGAAGACUAACUUCUGCGAAAGCAUUUGCCAAGGAUGUUUUCAUUAAUCAAGACGAAAGUUAGGGGAUCGAAGACGAUCAGAUACCGUCGUAGUCUUAACCAUAAACUAUGCCGACUAGGGAUCGGACGAUGUUAAUUUUUUAAUGACUCGUUCGGC